CAAGGUUUCCGUAGGUGAACCUGCGGAAGGAUCAUUACUGAAUUGUCAAACGGGUUGUUGCUGGCCCUCAUAGGGGGCAUGUGCACGCUCUGUUUACACAUCCACUCACACCUGUGCACCCUCUGUAGUUCUAUGGUUUGGGGGACCCUGUCUUCCUUCUGUGGUUCUACGUCUUUACACACACACUGUAAUAAAGUUUUAUGGAAUGUACAUCGCGUCUAACGCAAUACAAUACAACUUUCAGCAACGGAUCUCUUGGCUCUCGCAUCGAUGAAGAACGCAGCGAAAUGCGAUAAGUAAUGUGAAUUGCAGAAUUCAGUGAAUCAUCGAAUCUUUGAACGCACCUUGCGCCCCUUGGCUAUUCCGAGGGGCAUGCCUGUUUGAGUAUCAUGAACACCUCAACUCUCAUGGUUCGCCGUGAUGAGCUUGGACUCUGGGGGUUUUGCUGGCCUGUGGUCGGCUCCUCUCAAAUGAAUCAGCCUCCCAGUGUUUGGCGGCAUCACGGGUGUGAUAAAUAUCUACGCUCGCUGUUGUCUGCCAGGUAACCUUUGGUCACAAAGGUUUGCUGGAGCUCACAGAUGUCUCUCCUCAGCGAGGACAG
rnacentral:sRNA from 1 species